GACGAACGCUGGCGGCAUGCCUAAUACAUGCAAGUCGAGCGAACAGAUGAAGUGCUUGCACUUCUGACGUUAGCGGCGAACGGGUGAGUAACACGUAAGGAAUCUACCUAUAAGCGGGGGAUAACAUUCGGAAACGGGUGCUAAUACCGCAUAAUAUCUUCUUCCGCAUGGAAGAAGAUUGAAAGACGGCUCUGCUGUCACUUAUAGAUGACCUUGCGGUGCAUUAGUUAGUUGGUGGGGUAAUGGCCUACCAAGACGAUGAUGCAUAGCCGACCUGGGAGGGUGAUCGGCCACAUGGGGACUGAGACACGGACCAAACUCCUACGGGAGGCAGCAGUAGGGAAUCUUCCGCAAUGGGCGAAAGCCUGACGGAGCAAUGCCGCGUGAGUGAAGAAGGCCUUCGGGUCGUAAAACUCUGUUAUAAGAGAAGAACAAAUUGUAGAGUAACUGCUACAGUCUUGACGGUAUCUGACCAGAAAGCCACGGCUAACUACGUGCCAGCCGCCGCCGUAA
rnacentral:rRNA from 1 species